UGAGGAAUAUUGGUCAAUGGGCGCAAGCCUGAACCAGCCAUCCCGCGUGCAGGAAGACGGCCCUAUGGGUUGUAAACUGCUUUUCCAGGGGGAGAAUUUUUCUGUCGUGACAGGAAUUGACGGUACCCUGGGAAUAAGCAUCGGCUAACUCCGUGCCAGCAGCCGCGGUAAUACGGAGGAUGCGAGCGUUAUCCGGAUUUAUUGGGUUUAAAGGGUGCGUAGGCGGAUAGAUAAGUCAGUGGUGAAAACCUGCAGCUUAACUGUAGACUUGCCGUUGAUACUGUCAGUCUUGAGUAUGGUCAAGGUAGGCGGAACUUGUAGUGUAGCGGUGAAAUGCUUAGAGAUUACACAGAACACCGAUGGCGAAGGCAGCUUGCUGGGCAAUUACGGACGCUGAUGCACGAAAGCGUGGGGAUCGAACA
rnacentral:rRNA from 1 species